UACGUAGGGUGCGAGCGUUAAUCGGAAUUACUGGGCGUAAAGCGUGCGCAGGCGGUUGUGCAAGACAGAUGUGAAAUCCCCGGGCUUAACCUGGGAACUGCAUUUGUGACUGCACAGCUAGAGUGUGUCAGAGGGGGGUAGAAUUCCACGUGCAGCAGUGAAAUGCGCAGAUAUGUGGAGGAAUACCGAUGGCGAAGGCAGCCCCCUGGGAUAACACUGACGCUCAUGCACGAAAGCGUGGGGGAGCAAACAGGAUUAGAACCU
rnacentral:rRNA from 1 species